UUUGCGGUGUGGGAUGGGCCCGCGGCCUAUCAGCUUGUUGGUGGGGUAAUGGCCUACCAAGGCGACGACGGGUAGCCGGCCUGAGAGGGUGACCGGCCACACUGGGACUGAGAUACGGCCCAGACUCCUACGGGAGGCAGCAGUGGGGAAUAUUGCACAAUGGGCGCAAGCCUGAUGCAGCGAUGCCGCGUGAGGGAUGACGGCCUUCGGGUUGUAAACCUCUUUCACCAGGGACGAAGCGUAAGUGACGGUACCUGGAGAAGAAGCACCGGCCAACUACGUGCCAGCAGCCGCGGUAAUACGUAGGGUGCGAGCGUUGUCCGGAAUUACUGGGCGUAAAGAGCUCGUAGGUGGUUUGUCGCGUUGUUCGA
rnacentral:rRNA from 1 species